GGGCCAUUAGCUCAGUUGGUUAGAGCAUCCGCCUUUUAAGCGGAGUGUCGAAGGUUCGAGUCCUUCAUGGCCCACCA
rnacentral:tRNA from 8 species